rnacentral:lncRNA from 1 species
UUACAAACCCCACAACCCUCUUCCACCCCCAAAUCACCAUCUCCCACCGCCGCCACAGUCACCCACUCCCACCUAUAAAAGCCACAUUCUCUGGUGAAGAAGCCCAAACCCACCGCCGGAAAUUCAUCAUAACCACCUCCAUUUCACUACUUGCAUUAAACAACCUUAAUGUCCAGGUAGCAUCAGCCGAGAGCUGGGGCACAAGAUCGUUCAUAAAGGAACGAUUUUUUGAGCCGGGGUUGUCGCCGGAGGAUGCGGUGGC